rnacentral:tRNA from 1 species
UCUUGAGUCGAUUAAUGGGCAGAUCGUGAACUUUUGGUGUUCAUAGUGAGUGUUCGAAUCACUCCUCGAGAA